GCGCUGCACUUCCUUUCACGGGUACUUCAGCCUCGGAGACCUUUCACUGGGCACCAAUUGCAUGACACCCGCUUCCCUGCUCGCCUUGAAUUGGCAAAGCGGCAGCAGCAGCAAAUGACGGGGGGGGGGGGAAGAGGAGCACCAAGGAGCAGCAGCUUCUCUCUCCCCCUCUUCCUCUCCAGCUACCGCAACCCCCCCUCCAGCCGAAGCCAAGCGAUAGGAAGCGCGCCCAGGGGCAGCGAGCGGAGGCUCGAGCUGGCGGGUCACUGAGCGCUCUGGGCCGGCAGCCGCAGACAGAAGCGGAACACCUGGCUGGGCUGGGACUCGGCCGGCUUCCCCCUCCCCGCCAGGAGCGGAUGGUCUCGCAUUACUGCAGUGUGCGCGCCCCCUCCAGCAGCGGCGGCGGCGGCUCUCCGAAGAGCCCUCCUUGGCGAGGCAGGUGCGGAGGAGACGGAGCGGGGGCUCCCUGCCCUAGCGCCUCUCCCCUCGCAGCAGCAGCAGCGUCCCGCCGCCGAGCGCCGCUGGCUGCACCGCUGGAGCAAUGGCCAGGCAGAGCAACAAGGCGCCGCUGUCACACUCCGCUUCCCUCCUCAGCGGGAACAGACCACUCCAAGCCCCCAGCCAGAGCGCGGGGGCGGGUCUCUGGCUGCUCCUGCCGCCCACCGCAGGACCAGUCCGCCAGCUUGGGCUGGGGGCUGUCCCCCGCUGCAGAUACCUUCGCCCGCCUUCCUGGAAGCCCGGCCCUACAAAGCUCUGGAUGUGAAUGACUGAAAAUACGUUUGGGAGCAAUGGCUAUGGCAGAUGAUGACUGAUGCAACUGUCCUGCCCGGACAAAGAUUUCGCUGCAUCAACCAUUAGUUCAGGUAUGUGUCUGAGGCAGCCAUCCUCAGUUGUUAGACAGGGAGUGCAAUGACUCCCAUCCCUUCCCCAACACUGGGGUUAAUGUCACAGCAGCAAGGGAAUGAGUGACAUGCCUUUCUCGUUUUACUCAUCCACGAGUGCCGUGUUGGCCACUCAAUCAAAUCAAACAAUCAUCAAUAUGCCUCAAUCUUCUACCCAGUAAUUUGGUUUCCUGGAUUAACACCACACUCAUAAA
rnacentral:lncRNA from 1 species